AAAAUUGAAACUGUACCUGCAACUGCAUGGGAAAACAUCAUUCCUUUGUUUUAUAUUAUUUACUAGUAUCAUAAAUGAAAAUCCUCUGUAAAAUGAAGCUUUGGAAGUGCUUCAUAUCAUCUCACAGUUAUAGAGAGGUUUGGAAUAUAGCUUAAAUUUGUUCUCUCCCUCAUCAAGAGACUCAUGAUAGAAUUGUGAUUGUGAUUGUAGGUAUUAUGUUCUUACUUCUUAGUGGUCAAAUUUACUAGUUAUAAUUUGAAGGGAAUGCUCUUUACAGAAUUUACUUAUUUAAAAAGAUUUGUUUUGGUCUGUCAUAGUUCAUGUUGUUCAGUUUUCUUCUAGCAAGCCUCUCAUCGUAUUGUAUAUACCUUUAACCUUCUUUUUCAUUAUCUCUAGGAUAUAGAGCUAUAUACACAUAUGUCUGUACAUUAUAUGUAUUACUAUACAUAACUGCGCCUUUGUUUUGUACAUAGCCAUCCCCCAAAAAAAAAGGAACUCUCAUAAUCUAGGACCUAUACAAAAAGGCUAGCCGAAAGGUAUUUUUUGAGUUUCUUAGUCUUGUAUAAGUACCCAAGAUCUUUCUAGCGAAUAGCCAAUGUGGGACUAAACACACGCUCGCACGAAUGCUUACAUACUUCUCCUGUGCAAGCCCUGACGCCCUUUUCAGGCUAAGGGUGCAAAUCAUUCAAAUCUAAUCACAAGCACCAUGAUCGGUUCGUGGUCAGCCUCAAUAAGUCUAUGCUGCAGUGUCCCGUAGUCUAUAUGGACCAUGGACCGGAUCCACUCUGAUAUCAUUUGUCACAAUCUAGGACCUUAUCCAAAAAGGCUAGCCGGAAGGUAUUUUUUAGGUUCUUUAGUCCUGUAUAAGUAUCCAAGAUCUUUCCGAUGAAUAAUUGAUAUGGGAUUAAACACACGCCCACACAGAUGCUCACAAGAACAUUUGAUGAUAUUAAAUGAAUUGACUUAAUAAUUGUUACGCCACUUUACUACUUGUUUCUCUUUGUUUUUUCAAAGCAUUUUCAGCAUUUACAAAGCCUAUGUUUUAGGUUUUGCAUGAAAAUUUUUGUAAGCAUUAUUUACUGCAGACAACAAUGGCCGGUCUGAGACAGGCCACUCAGCUCUCCAGUUGGUCUUGAACAUUUUAUUUUAUUUUUGACUGAUGAGUUCAGAUUCCAAGACGACCUCAAAAGAAUUGCUCUUAGACCAGAAUUUCUUUAACCUUUGGUACAAGUAGUUGAGGCUGUGAGUCUAUGACUUACUGAGCUGAAAACUUGGUAACAUUAUUUCAGGCAAAUGACAGCUGUAAAUAGCUAAAUAACUAAAGUUUCAACUGCAAGAAUAUUACUUAUUAUUUUUUGAUUAUUUACUGUAGGACAGAGGUCAUCUCAAACUCUGUGAAUGUGUUACCACAGUAAGGGGCGUCUGAACAAAAUUAUACACGGUCUUGUCCAUGAUAUACAUACAAACUUAAAAUUAGAAUUAGAAAAUUCAUAUAUGGACAGCACAUUAGGCAUGUAAACAUUGUAGUGUGAAGUGUACCGUUCAUGUCUUGGUAUGGUUUGUAACAUGAUAUGUCCCCGUAUCUACCCGUGGUUUAUCAAUAUGUCUUACAUGGUACAGUACGGUCUUGGUGGUAUGGGGAGUAUCAUACCACAGUAUGGUCAGUUUUCAACACUUGAUGUAGAAUGUGCUUGUUUACUUUAUUCCUUUAAUACUACUGUAUAUCAGAAUUUGCAUAUAUGAAGCUUGCAGUGGUAUUUGUGAUACUAGAUUUAGUUGCAUUAUAUUAAAGUGAGAAAAUUUUCUUGCAAGUAAUAAAUUAACUGGAAGCAGAAUU
rnacentral:lncRNA from 1 species